CCUGGGUGCCUAAAGAGUUGUAGCCCUCAUGUGAAGGAAGGAGCCAUCCUGAAUCCCUGAAGGUUAGUGCAGAUAGGGAGGGAGGCCUCAGUCAGUGGGCUAUUUUAUCUCAAUGUUUCCUUGCCUGGGAAGUCCUGGAAGGGAAUUGCAAGAGGGUUUUUCCAUUCUUCAUGACUGCCCUGAAAACGGCUGAGUCAGAGCUGCUAGGAAAGGCACUGCCUUGCUUGAACAACUGCCCAGUACCUACUGGUUCUUGUCUGCCUGGUGUCAGAGUGGAGUGCAGAAGAGACCUCCUCCUGCUGUCACCAUCAGCAAAGACAGCAGUCAGGGCCAGCGGGUGCACCAGACUUGUUGGAUAGUUAAAGCUAUUUUAUUAUCCUUUACACAAAAAAGAUGCAGGAGGAGCAGCACGACUUUGGGGGCAGAGCCCUGAGCCCCUAUUCAAACUCCAUGGAGAGGGCUUUACUCUUGCUUACAUUGCACCUCAUUUGCCAUUUUGUUGCCUCGAGAGUAUACAAAAUGAAGAUGUGAUAUGUGCAUUCCCUGAAGCCUGUUGGAGACUGACAACUGAGGAAUGUACAAAAUGCACUUGAGAUUAGGGAUGGAAGGAUCAGUCUACUUUGGUUGCCUCAAUUUCUCAUUUUUCUAAGCUUCCAAUCUCCAUGAUUCUGCAGAAAUCUGUGAUUAAAAAAAAAUCAUAAAAAUUUGUUAGCAUUUUAAGUGCAAAUUUCUCCUAAUAAACUUAUUUUGUAUGCAGCUUUGACAAAUAUACACAUUUUUGCAA